rnacentral:rRNA from 1 species
GACGAACGCUGGCGGCGUGCUUAACACAUGCAAGUCGAACGGUGAAGCGCCUUCCUUUUUGGUGGGUGUGGAUGAGUGGCGAACGGGUGAGUAACACGUGAGUAACCUGCCCCCUUCUUCUGGAUAACCGCAUGAAAGUGUGGCUAAUACGGGAUAUUCUGGGUCUGUCGCAUGAUGGGUCUGGGAAAGAUAUUGUUUCGGUGGGGGAUGGGCUCGCGGCCUAUGAGCUUGUUGGUGGGGUGAUGGCCUACCAAGGCGGUGACGGGUAGCCGGCCUGAGAGGGUGGACGGUCACACUGGGACUGAGACACGGCCCAGACUCCUACGGGAGGCAGCAGUGGGGAAUAUUGCACAAUGGGCGCAAGCCUGAUGCAGCGACGCCGCGUGAGGGAUGGAGGCCUGCGGGUUGUGAACCUCUUUCGCCAGUGAAGCAGGCCUGCCUCGUUUGUGGGUGGGUUGACGGUAGCUGGAGAAGAAGCGCCGGCUAACUACGUG